rnacentral:rRNA from 1 species
ACUCCUACGGGAGGCAGCAGUGGGAGUAUUGAUCAAUGGCAGGCAAGCAUGCAUGCAGCCAUGCCGCGUGUGUGAAGAAGGCCUUCGGGUUGUAAAGCACUUUCAGUCGUGAGGAAGGUAGUGUAGUUAAUAGCUGCACUAUUUGACGUUACCUACAGAAGAAGCACCGGCUAACUCCGUGCCAGCAGCCGCGGUAAUACGGAGGGUGCGAGCGUUAAUCGGAAUUACUGGGCGUAAAGCGCAUGCAGGCGGCCUGUUAAGUCAGAUGUG